rnacentral:rRNA from 1 species
CCUACGGGUGGCAGCAGUGGGGAAUAUUUCACAAUGGGGUAAACCCUGAUGCAGCGACGCCUCGUGAGUGAAGCCGUAUUUCGGUAUGUAACGCUCUAUCAGCAGGGAAGAAAUAGCGACCUUUGGGUCGCCAGACGGUACCUGAUUAAGAAGCCCCGGCUAACUACGUGCAAGCAGCCGCGGUAAUACGUAGGGGGCAAGCGUUUUCCGGAUUUACUGGGUGUAAAGGGUGUGUAGACGGCUGCGCAAGUCUGAAGUGAAAUGCCGGGGCUUAACCCCGGAACUGCUUUGGAAACUGUGCAGCUAGAGUGCAGGAGAGGUAAGUGGAAUUCCUAGUGUAGCGGUGAAAUGCGUAGAUAUUAGGAGGAACACCAGUGGCGAAGGCGGCUUACUGGACUGUAACUGACGUUGAGGCUCGAAAGCGUGGGGAGCAAACAGGAUUAGAUACCCCUGUAGUC